UGGGGAAUUUUGGACAAUGGGGGCAACCCUGAUCCAGCAAUGCCGCGUGUGUGAAGAAGGCCUUCGGGUUGUAAAGCACUUUUGUCCGGAAAGAAAACGCCGUGGUUAAUACCCGUGGCGGAUGACGGUACCGGAAGAAUAAGCACCGGCUAACUACGUGCCAGCAGCCGCGGUAAUACGUAGGGUGCAAGCGUUAAUCGGAAUUACUGGGCGUAAAGCGUGCGCAGGCGGUCCGCUAAGACAGAUGUGAAAUCCCCGGGCUUAACCUGGGAACUGCAUUUGUGACUGGCGGGCUAGAGUAUGGCAGAGGGGGGUAGAAUUCCACGUGUAGCAGUGAAAUGCGUAGAGAUGUGGAGGAAUACCGAUGGCGAAGGCAGCCCCCUGGGCCAAUACUGACGCUCAUGCACGAAAGCGUGGGGGAGCAAACAGGAUU
rnacentral:rRNA from 1 species